rnacentral:rRNA from 1 species
UGCUGGAGGUAUCAGAAGUGCGAAUGCUGACAUAAGUAACGAUAAAGCGGGUGAAAAGCCCGCUCGCCGGAAGACCAAGGGUUCCUGUCCAACGUUAAUCGGGGCAGGGUGAGUCGACCCCUAAGGCGAGGCCGAAAGGCGUAGUCGAUGGGAAACGGGUUAAUAUUCCCGUACUUGGUGUUACUGCGAAGGGGGGACGGAGAAGGCUAUGUUGGCCGGGCGACGGUUGUCCCGGUUUAAGCGUGUAGGUGUGUGUUCCAGGUAAAUCCGGUUCACUUUAACACUGAGGCGUGAUGACGAGGCACUACGGUGCUGAAGCAACAAAUGCCCUGCUUCCAGGAAAAGCCUCUAAGCAUCAGGUAACAUCAAAUCGUACCCCAAACCGACACAGGUGGUCAGGUAGAGAAUACCAAGGCGCUUGAGAGAACUCGGGUGAAGGAACUAGGCAAAAUGGUGCCGUAACUUCGGGAGAAGGCACGCUGACACGUAGGUGAAGUGAUUUACUCACGGAGCUGAAGUCAGUCGAAGAUACCAGCUGGCUGCAACUGUUUAUUAAAAACACAGCACUGUGCAAACACGAAAGUGGACGUAUACGGUGUGACGCCUGCCCGGUGCCGGAAGGUUAAUUGAUGGGGUCAGCGCAAGCGAAGCUCCUGAUCGAAGCCCCGGUAAACGGCGGCCGUAACUAUAACGGUCCUAAGGUAGCGAAAUUCCUUGUCGGGUAAGUUCCGACCUGCACGAAUGGCGUAAUGAUGGCCAGGCUGUCUCCACCCGAGACUCAGUGAAAUUGAACUCGCUGUGAAGAUGCAGUGUACCCGCGGCAAGACGGAAAGACCCCGUGAACCUUUACUAUAGCUUGACACUGAACAUUGAGCCUUGAUGUGUAGGAUAGGUGGGAGGCUUUGAAGCGUGGACGCCAGUCUGCGUGGAGCCGACCUUGAAAUACCACCCUUUAAUGUUUGAUGUUCUAACGUGGACCCGUUAUCCGGGUUGCGGACAGUGUCUGGUGGGUAGUUUGACUGGGGCGGUCUCCUCCUAAAGAGUAACGGAGGAGCACGAAGGUUGGCUAAUCCUGGUCGGACAUCAGGAGGUUAGUGCAAUGGCAUAAGCCAGCUUGACUGCGAGCGUGACGGCGCGAGCAGGUGCGAAAGCAGGUCAUAGUGAUCCGGUGGUUCUGAAUGGAAGGGCCAUCGCUCAACGGAUAAAAGGUACUCCGGGGAUAACAGGCUGAUACCGCCCAAGAGUUCAUAUCGACGGCGGUGUUUGGCACCUCGAUGUCGGCUCAUCACAUCCUGGGGCUGAAGUAGGUCCCAAGGGUAUGGCUGUUCGCCAUUUAAAGUGGUACGCGAGCUGGGUUUAGAACGUCGUGAGACAGUUCGGUCCCUAUCUGCCGUGGGCGCUGGAGAACUGAGGGGGGCUGCUCCUAGUACGAGAGGACCGGAGUGGACGCAUCACUGGUGUUCGGGUUGUCAUGCCAAUGGCACUGCCCGGUAGCUAAAUGCGGAAGAGAUAAGUGCUGAAAGCAUCUAAGCACGAAACUUGCCCCGAGAUGAGUUCUCCCUGAGACUUAGAGUCUCCUGAAGGAACGUUGAAGACGACGACGUUGAUAGGCCGGGUGUGUAAGCGCAGCGAUGCGUUGAGCUAACCGGUACUAAUGAACCGUGAGGCUUAACCUUACAACGCCGAAG